rnacentral:rRNA from 1 species
CCUACGGGAGGCAGCAGUGAGGAAUAUUGGACAAUGGAGGCAACUCUGAUCCAGCCAUGCCGCGUGUAGGAUGACUGCCCUAUGGGUUGUAAACUACUUUUAUACAGGAAGAAACACCUCUACGUGUAGAGGCUUGACGGUACUGUAAGAAUAAGGAUCGGCUAACUCCGUGCCAGCAGCCGCGGUAAU